CCAACUAUUUAUACUAAAACUAGGACAUGAAUAGCCAAUUCUGGCCAUUAAUAAGUAACAUGAAUCAGCCCAUGAACCGAUUUUAAUGAUAUAUGUUCAUCCAUUGAAUGAAAUUUAAGUCACAUUCGUCCCCCCCUUGCCAUCCAUAGAUGCAUCCUUAGUCAUGAAGCAAAUGUUUGUUCAUCAUGGGUAAUAAAUUUGACUUCUAGAAUCUGCCCAUUCAUCCCUUCAAUUUGGAUGGUGCUUUUAAGGCUCCUUUUUUUUUCCCACGAAAAAGGCUCCUAGGUGAGCUCAAACGGCAGCUUAAAUGCAGGUUUUAAUUUGCUGCUCAUGCAUUCUCUUAAUUGAGACGGCACAUUAAUGCUCUUUGGAAGCAUGAAACUUCAGCCUUGGUUUAAACAGCAAGCAACAAACAUGUUUUGGCCGAAUGGCCACUUGGAAAUUCCCCAAACAACAGCUCUUUGCUGUACCCGAAGCAAUACCAGCUUUAAUGGCAUUCAAAAACGUCCCCCUUGCAUGCUUUCAUUAAUGCCGUCCAUGCAUGGGAACAUCUCAUUAAAUCCAUGUCUUUGCUUCCUUUAAAUGCCGUUCCAUGCAUGGGAACAUCUCCCUUGCUGCUCAUUAAAUUCGGCCAUGCAUGCAAGCUCCAGC
rnacentral:lncRNA from 1 species